GAUGAACGCUGGCGGCGUGCCUAAUACAUGCAAGUCGAGCGAACGGACGAGAAGCUUGCUUCUCUGAUGUUAGCGGCGGACGGGUGAGUAACACGUGGAUAACCUACCUAUAAGACUGGGAUAACUUCGGGAAACCGUAGCUAAUACCGGAUAAUAUUUUGAACCGCAUGGUUCAAAAGUGAAAGACGGUCUUGCUGUCACUUAUAGAUGGAUCCGCGCUGCAUUAGCUAGUUGGUAAGGUAACGGCUUACCAAGGCAACGAUGCAUAGCCGACCUGAGAGGGUGAUCGGCCACACUGGAACUGAGACACGGUCCAGACUCCUACGGGAGGCAGCAGUAGGGAAUCUUCCGCAAUGGGCGAAAGCCUGACGGAGCAACGCCGCGUGAGUGAUGAAGGUCUUCGGAUCGUAAAACUCUGUUAUUAGGGAAGAACAUAUGUGUAAGCAACUGUGCACAUCUUGACGGUACCUAAUCAGAAAGCAACGGCUAACUACGUG
rnacentral:rRNA from 1 species